CCUACGGGAGGCAGCAGUAGGGAAUCUUUCACAAUGGGCGAAAGCCUGAUGGAGCAACGCCGCGUGCAGGAUGAAGGCCUUCGGGUUGUAAACUGCUUUUAUAAGCGAGAAAUAUGAUGGUAACUUAUGAAUAAGGAUCGGCUAACUACGUGCCAGCAGCCGCGGUCAUACGUAGGAUCCGAGCAUUAUCCGGAGUGACUGGGUGUAAAGAGUUGCGUAGGUGGCAUAAUAAGUAGCGAGUGAAAUCUGGUGGCUCAACCAUUCAGACUAUUAGCUAAACUGUUAAGCUCGAGACCGUUAGGGGUAACUGGAAGUUCUAGUGUAGGAGUGAAAUGCGUAGAUAUUAGAAGGAACACCAAUAGCGUAGGCAGGUUACUGGAACGGUUCUGACACUAAGGCUCGAAAGCGUAGGGAGCAAACGGGAUUAGAUACCCUUGUAGUC
rnacentral:rRNA from 1 species